rnacentral:lncRNA from 1 species
GUCACAAAGCUAGGAAGUAGCAAUUUUCGAAUCAGAUUCUGAGUCUCCUGAUUCCUCCCUUUGGCAUUCUUCUUUCCACUAGAACACUUGGCACCUAUUGUCUCAGAGCCUGAUUGUAGGCACCCCCAACUAAUUUCUGGUUCCUGAGGUGGACAGGAAGUUGCCUACAGCUGUUUCUGUGAAUGUUUUUGGAGAAGAGGAGGUAACUGACAGAAAAGACUUCCAGCAAUCCUCAGCAAGGGAAAGAAAUUGACAGAC